GAGUGAGCUGAGAUUGUUCCACUGCAUUCCAGCCUGGGCAACAGAGGGAGAUUCCUUCUCCCCAAAAAUAACCUCCUAGGAACAUCCUGAGAAGAGGCUCCAGUAGACCGAGGAGAGUCCUCUGAAAAAGGCUGUAGGUACAGGCCAGAAGGGGAGAAGCCCCAGAAGCUGGAGAACAGGUACGCAGGACAAAACAGUUCUGGGUGACCCUGCCACAGCUCCGACAGCUCCCACUACAACUGAGUCUCCCUAUGGCCAUACCCUAAACCUUGUUAUCACAAGAACUGUCUCUUAAAGAAGCUGUGAUUGCUAUGCUCUGAUUUUUUGUGUCCUUCAAAAUUCACACACUGAAAUCUAACCCCCAAUGUGAUAUGACUAGCAGGUGGAGACUUUGGGGGGUGAUUAGACGGUGAGGGCUGAGCCCUCGUGAACUGGAUUCAUGCCCUUAUGAAUGAGAACCCAGAGAGAUCUCUUGGUCCUUCCACCGAGUGAGGACACAGCAGGAAGACAGCUGUCUGUAAACCAGGCAGCAGAUCCUUAUCAGACACUGAGUCUGCCUUGAUAUCUUGAUCUUCCCAGCCUCCAGAAUCAUGAGAAAUAAAUUUCUGUUGUGCAAAAACUUCUCAUCUAUGGUAUUUCAUUAUAGCAGCCCAGAGGGACAUGAAGACACUGACUUGAGCAUUUUCCCCUUCCAGCUUGCUACCCCCAUUUCUCCCUCAUCAUACCCUGCCUCUCCUUUCUCCUGCCAUCAUCCCCUCCCCGUGUUCGCUUUCUCUUCCCCAUUCAGCUUGGAUCCCACAUUCAACACUGCUCUUUGGCUAACAGACUCAACUUCCUCCCCUUUUGCCUUUUCCUGGAGUUACCUGGAAAUAUCCCUCUAUAUUAUUCCUUCUCUCUGCUCAGAGUCACAGGCUGCUGAACACUGCUAGAGAAACCAGGCAGCCUCACAGAUCACUAUCACACUAAGUCCACCGUUUCCUUCUUCAAACGGUCCUUGAUGCCCCAUGGCAGUCCUGCCUUCUUUCUCUGCUCGGUGACAGCCGUCAUGAUAAAUGUCAUGAAGACAUUCAGGUAUACCUCCCUAUAAACAAACCCGAGAUCGUAUACAGAAAUCCUACAAAAGGAUUUUUCAAAGAAAGCCUUUAAACAGCAGUCUGUGUGCAUCUAACACGGAGUAUCAUAUGUAUAUAUUUUUAAGCCAUUUAUGUAGAGUGAGGUUUGCCCUCACUGUUGCCUUUCCCCAGGUCACUGACAUGGAGGCUCCACACCCCAGCACACCGUGCUUUGCAAGCAGCCUCAGCCAUCUCCAUUUGUCAACGUAGCUGCUGAGUGCUCCUGGUUCAUUUCAAAGUCACCAAAACCUCCUACACAAAACUUACAUGGAAAAAAAAAUUUGGAUGGUUCUUCCUUCACUGCGCCUACUAAGUCAAAAAAAAAUAAACAAGAUCCAUCAAAGGGAGAAAACAGUUUCUACAAAAUACCCUACCAAACAGCUUUGCAUUUAAGCAUCACCCCCUGAGUAAUUUCCUCUGAAGAGGCUCCUCUAAUGCAUAUCAGUGCUGCUGACAUCGGCAACAUUUCUGUGAUUUACUGCAACUGCAUCUAUCAGAGGCUGGGAGUGGGCGCAGGUUAGAGGAAGAGAGAAAUCUAAAACGGAAAAGGAUACCCGCAUUAUUCCUCAUGGGUCUAGUGAGACAGCAAUGUAGAAAACCUACAAAUUCAUUCAUCUGAAGACUAGGAGGUGUUUUUGAAAUAUUCAUAACUCUGAUUAGUGAAGUCUUUGAGGAAUCUACAGACUUACUUAAAAAAUGGGGAAGUCGAUUCUCUUCAAUAAAACAGCUCGGUGUCUUCCAAGUAACACCUAGGUUUGGGGUAUAAAAUGUGGCCGAAUGAAGGCAAGAGUCAAUGCUGCCAGAGAAAUCUUACAGCUGAAUCAACAUUCUGAGGAAUUUUCCAUACCAAAGAGCUACUGAGCAUAGGCUGAACCUGCCAGUUAGACAAACACCUCACUCCACUCCCCAAAAUACUUUUCCUCAUUAGUAAUUUCUCCCACUAGAAGGUAAGUUCCUCCAGAUGCCCCUUGAAGGUGAACCCUUUCAUCUCUGAAUUUUCCAUGGUCCCAAUCCCAGUGUACACAAAGAGCUCAAUUAAUGUUCAUGGCAUGAAUUUGACAAAUGUUUGCUGAGGGCCUAUUGUGCUUGGGGCACCGGGAUGCCAAGGUGAUGAAGAGAAUCCCUGCUGUCCAGGAAUGGAUGAACUGAGUGUGGGCGAGAGCUAACAGUACCUAAACCUCCACCCCUAUGGAAUUCAGAAGAGGCCCAGCACUCAAGGGCUAGAGAAGGCAUUCAAAAGCUCAGAGAGCAAACAGACCCUUGCAUAAAUCAUAUGGAACUCUGCCAAACUGCUAUACUGGUACAGAAGUUGGCUUCAGCAUCAUUUUCAAGGAUUAAUCCCAUCUUCCCCAUAUGAGAAGUGUCCCUUUCCUAGACACUCAGAACCAAACCUAUUACCAAAGCAGAAUCUCCACAUGAUGGGUUAGUCACAAUUAAGCAGUCAUGUAAACAUACUUCCAUUCAAGAAAAUCCCCAGUUAUAAAAUCAUGGGACACUAUUUAAAAAUCUAAGACAAAUUAGAUACUGAAUCCUGGCACAUAGUAGAGUUCCCUAAAUUCAUGUGGAAUGAAAGUACCACAUGCAUGCUUGCCAUGUGAGUGAAUGUUAAGUGUUGGUGCAAGAUCUUUGUAAAUAGCAAAGAUUGAGGGGAAACACAAGAUAAAAACCAUUUUCCUAGAUAGUUCAAACUAACCUUUGGGUUCAAGGAACAGAGUCUUCAUAGAAAAUUCUAGCUGAUAUUUAAUUCAUCAAUACACUUUGGAUUCAACCCAUACUUAAUUACUUGGAAAUUGCCUCUGAAGAGGUCACUGGAAACAGUCUUGUGGUUAUGCUUCCUCCACCUCACAGAAAGGAGAAGAAACUAAGGCUUAAAAACUAGUAUAACCAUCCUGGUGCAAUGGCUCACGCCUUUAAUCCCAGCACUUUGGGAGGCUGAGGUGGGGGGAUCACUUGAAAACAGGAGUUGGAGACCAGUCUGGGCAACAUAGUGAGGCUGUCUCUACCAAAAAU